UACGAAGGGUACAAGCGUUGUUCGGAAUUACUGGGCGUAAAGCGCGCGUAGGCGGAUGAGUAAGUCGAUUGUGAAAGCCCUGGGCUUAACCUGGGAACUGCAGUCGAUACUGCGGGUCUCGAGUCCGGGAGAGGUGAGUGGAAUUCCUAGUGUAGAGGUGAAAUUCGUAGAUAUUAGGAAGAACACCAGUGGCGAAGGCGGCUCACUGGCCCGGUACUGACGCUGAGGCGCGAAAGCGUGGGGAGCAAACAGG
rnacentral:rRNA from 1 species